UACGGAGGAUGCAAGCGUUAUCCGGAUUUAUUGGGUUUAAAGGGUGCGCAGGUGGUUUAAUAAGUCAGUGGUGAAAGUCUGCCGCUUAACGGUAGGAUUGCCAUUGAUACUGUUGGACUUGAAUAUGGAUGAGGUAGGCGGAAUGUGUAGUGUAGCGGUGAAAUGCUUAGAUAUUACACAGAACACCGAUUGCGAAGGCAGCUUACUAAUCCAUGAUUGACGAUGAGGCACGAAAGCGUGGGGAUCAAACAGGAUUAGA
rnacentral:rRNA from 1 species